AACAAACGCUGGCGGCGUGCCUAACACAUGCAAGUCGUACGAGAAAGGGUCCUUCGGGGCCUGAGUAAAGUGGCGCACGGGUGAGUAACGCGUGGAUAAUCUGCCCUUCAGUUGGGAAUAACUCAUCGAAAGGUGGGCUAAUACCGAAUAAUGCUGUGAGACCUCGGUUGAUCAGCCAAAGAGAGCCUCUGCUUGCAAGCCCUCGCUGAAGGAUGAGUCCGCGUACCAUUAGCUAGUUGGUAGGGUAAUGGCCUACCAAGGCGACGAUUGUUAGCUGGUCUGAGAGGAUGAUCAGCCACACUGGAACUGAGACACGGUCCAGACUCCUACGGGAGGCAGCAGUGAGGAAUCUUGCGCAAUGGGGCAACCCUGACGCAGCAACGCCGCGUGAGUGAGGAAGGUCUUCGGAUCGUAAAGCUCUGUCGGAUGGAAAGAACCGCAUAGGGGUAAACAGCCCCUGUGUCUGACGGUACCAUCAAAGGAAGCACCGGCUAACUCCGUGCCAGCAGCCGCCGUAAAAC
rnacentral:rRNA from 1 species